UACGGCGGGUGCAAGCGUUAUCCGGAUUCACUGGGUUUAAAGGGUGCGUAGGUGGGUUGGUAAGUCAGUGGUGAAAUCCCCGAGCUUAACUUGGGAACUGCCAUUGAUACUAUUAAUCUUGAAUACCGUGGAGGUUAGCGGAAUAUGUCAUGUAGCGGUGAAAUGCUUAGAUAUGACAUAGAACACCAAUUGCGAAGGCAGCUGGCUACACGAAUAUUGACACUGAUGCACGAAAGCGUGGGGAUCAAACAGG
rnacentral:rRNA from 1 species